UAGAAGACAAAUAAACUGUUUAAAAUGAUACUACUGUUAAAAGCAUAAUUUAUUGAAUUUCAGUAACUAAAUAACAACCCAAUGAAAAAAUUAAGGUAAAAUUUUUUUAUAAAUUCAAAAUUAAUUUUUUUAAGAUAUUUAGUAACUUUACUUUUCUGUGAUCGUAAUACCUGUUUUAAUAACUUAUUUUCAAUAAAAUUGUUUGUAAUAAAUAUACAAUUAUACAUGUGAUACUCAAAAUAUUCAUGGUAACAAACAUUUGAUUUCUUGAUUUAAAAAAUUUCAAGUUAUAAAGAUGGUCUUGAAUUCAAGUGUUAAACGGAAGGUGAAAUUUGAUUUUGUAUAGGUAACAUAAUCCUAAUUUUAUCAGUAGAACUUUUCUAUUGUUACUGUUAUUGUUCCAUGCAAUAAUGAUAUAUCAUUAUCAUUCUUCCCUUUAACUGAAAACAAUUAUUAAAAUUAUUAAAAUGGUUUCUAUAACAGAAAGAAGUUUGCCUGAACUCUAUUGGCUAGCUCUGAGGAAAGAAGGAAAAACAAAAAAUUAAAAUUUAAGGGGAAAAAAUUAGUUGGUUGAUCAAGAAAAUAGAGUGCUUUUAGUGUUUUCUUACAAAAGGAAUCAUCAAAGAUAUAUUAGGAUUUUGAUCAGUGCCACUCUACUUGUUCCAUUCCUCUAGUGUAGAGUAAAGAAACAAUUUUGGAAGUUCUGAUUAUCUUCUUUCUUGGUUAAUUUUCCUAUAUGACAAUAUUUUUGCAUCCAGCAGUAUUAGGAAAUGUAGAAAAACUGAAUUGUAGAAAAACUGAAAUUACAGUUUAUGAGAAAAUUUAUUUAUAAACUGUAAGGAAAAAAUCAGGACCAGAAAAAUAUGAUGUAAAUUGUGGAAAGCAUUAAUUCCAGCAAUGACAUAAUAUGAUACAAACAAUGGCAAUGAUGAAAUAUUCUUAAAGCCAAGAUGAUAAAAUAGAUGUUCAAAACUCCAGAAAAUAUAAACAGAGAUCAUGUAAAAUAAUGACAAAUUUCAGUAUUCUCCCCAGGAACAUAGUUUGUAAUUUACCUGCAAUGUUAGCUAGUUGCUGCUACAAAUUUACUUACAAACUUUGAGUAUUGUUUUAUUGUCAUUAACUACACUAACACUUGUUAACCAAAUUACAGACCACAGGUACCUUGAAAAAAAAAAAACAAUACUAAUAAUAAUAAAUAUGAAAUGAAAUUAAAAAAAUAUAUAUUUUUAUCUAAUUGGUUGAAAUAUUUAGCUGCCAAAUCUACCAACUAAAACUAUAAAACUAGCAUGAAGAGAAACUGAUAUUUUCAGUAUUCAUAGCCAUUUUUAGCAUGCUGUUAAAUUGGAUAGUCACUAGGAAAAGGAAAUACAGAUCUGUUAAACUAUACAAUAAUUUUUAUCAUAAACAAAGUACUACAAUUUGUUUGUCAUCUUAAUCUCCAGCUGUAAUUUUUUUUAAAUAAAUUAUUUUAUUAAGUUGUUGUUAAAAGAUGAUCCUAUAAUAAUUUAAAAGUUUAUGAUGUCUAUAUCUAAUUAUUAAAUAUCAUUUAAAGUAUGUU
rnacentral:lncRNA from 1 species